rnacentral:lncRNA from 1 species
GAACCAAUACGGUUGAGUAUUACCCUCCUCGCGAGAACGGCGCCGUUCCGUUUCAGUUUCUUGCUGACGUGGAGGAUAAACAGAUGGAUAAUCUCUACCCUUACGUUCAUCUCCUCCCCGACGACGGCGGAAACCUCUUCAUCUUCGCCAACAGCCGCGCCGUCAAAUACGAUCACCGCCUAAACACCGUGGUGAAAGAGUAUCCGCCUCUAGACGGCGGCCCGAGGAAUUAUCCGUCGGGUGGAUCAUCAGCGAUGCUAGCGAUCCAAGGAGAUUUCGCCACGGCGGAGAUCCUAAUAUGCGGCGGAGCUCAAUCCGGCGCUUUCACAGCGCGUGCCGUUGACGCACCGGCGCACGGAACCUGCGGUCGAAUCGUCGCUACCGCGCCGGAUCCGGCUUGGGUGACGGAGGAGAUGCCGUUCGGGAGGAUCAUGGGAGAUAUGGUGAAUCUUCCGACGGGAGAGAUUCUGAUCAUAAACGGAGCUCAAGCCGGAAGCCAAGGAUUCGAAAUGGGAUCGGAUCCGUGUCUUUACCCGCUUCUAUACCGACCCGAUCAACCAAUUGGAUUGCGAUUCAUGACACUGAAUCCAGGAACCGUACCGAGAAUGUACCAUUCGACGGCGAAUCUGUUACCGGACGGUCGAAUCCUCCUCGCCGGAAGUAACCCUCACUACUUCUACAAAUUCAACGCCGAGUUUCCCACCGAGUUACGUAUCGAAGCGUUUUCUCCGGAGUAUCUUUCACAGGAUCGAGCCAAUCUCCGACCCGAGCUCCGAGAAAUUCCGCAGAUCGUAAGAUACGGCGAGGUCUUCGAUGUGUUCGUGACGGUGCCGUUGCCGGUUGUGGAGACGAUUCAGAUCUAUUGGGGAAGCGCGCCUUUUGCGACUCACUCGUUUUCUCAGGGUCAACGGCUCGUGAUGUUGACCGUUGGGCCAUCAAUACCUGACGGAGAAGGACGUUAUAGGAUUCAGUGCACGGCUCCACUAACCGGACGCUGGUACGCUAGUGACCAGAUAUUACCGGAUGGUUCGGUUAUCAUCGUCGGUGGGAGAGGAACCAAUACGGUUGAGUAUUACCCUCCUCGCGAGAACGGCGCCGUUCCGUUUCAGUUUCUUGCUGACGUGGAGGAUAAACAGAUGGAUAAUCUCUACCCUUACGUUCAUCUCCUCCCCGACGACGGCGGAAACCUCUUCAUCUUCGCCAACAGCCGCGCCGUCAAAUACGAUCACCGCCUAAACACCGUGGUGAAAGAGUAUCCGCCUCUAGACGGCGGCCCGAGGAAUUAUCCGUCGGGUGGAUCAUCAGCGAUGCUAGCGAUCCAAGGAGAUUUCGCCACGGCGGAGAUCCUAAUAUGCGGCGGAGCUCAAUCCGGCGCUUUCACAGCGCGUGCCGUUGACGCACCGGCGCACGGAACCUGCGGUCGAAUCGUCGCUACCGCGCCGGAUCCGGCUUGGGUGACGGAGGAGAUGCCGUUCGGGAGGAUCAUGGGAGAUAUGGUGAAUCUACCGACGGGAGAGAUUCUGAUCAUAAACGGAGCUCAAGCCGGAAGCCAAGGAUUCGAAAUGGGAUCGGAUCCGUGUCUUUACCCGCUUCUAUACCGACCCGAUCAACCAAUUGGAUUGCGAUUCAUGACACUGAAUCCAGGAACCGUACCGAGAAUGUACCAUUCGACGGCGAAUCUGUUACCGGACGGUCGAAUCCUCCUCGCCGGAAGUAACCCUCACUACUUCUACAAAUUCAACGCCGAGUUUCCCACCGAGUUACGUAUCGAAGCGUUUUCUCCGGAGUAUCUUUCACAGGAUCGAGCCAAUCUCCGACCCGAGCUCCGAGAAAUUCCGCAGAUCGUAAGAUACGGCGAGGUCUUCGAUGUGUUCGUGACGGUGCCGUUGCCGGUUGUGGAGACGAUUCAGAUCUAUUGGGGAAGCGCGCCUUUUGCGACUCACUCGUUUUCUCAGGGUCAACGGCUCGUGAUGUUGACCGUUGGGCCAUCAAUACCUGACGGAGAAGGACGUUAUAGGAUUCAGUGCACGGCUCCACUCAACGGCGCCGUCUCUCCGCCAGGUUAUUACAUGGCCUUCGCCGUUAACCAAGGCGUUCCUAGCGUCGCUCGGUGGAUGCGUAUAGUUCUUUGAUUAAAAACGAGGAAAUAUUUCGAUUUUUAAUCAUGAAUAAUUUGUUAAAUAUGUUAAUAAAAAAACACAUGGCUUAAUAUGAAUAUUUUUAAUGAAACCCUUACUUGGCCAAUUCUAACCAUACAAUGUUUAUUUGGUCUGGUGAUUUAGAUGUUUUGGUUUUAUAAAUUUACUAGUUGUAUCCCGGUACACGCCGGGUUUAUAUGUUUUGUUUUCUGAUGACUUAAUAAUUGAUUUUUUGAUCCAUUUGAUAGUGGUGGAUGAUAUUAGUGUAUUACUUUUUUUGUAGUUGGUUAGGUCAAAGAAAAAUAGCAUAAGUGAGUUUUAUAGAUUAAUGAAACAACAACCAUAAAUAGCUGAUAGUUUCACCAAAUUAAAUAUAAAUUAACUAAAAACAUAAAAUAAAAUUGAUGUUCCAAAAUAAAGCACCUAAAUGCAUGUGUUUGUUUGUGAUCAUCCUCUUACAGCACCAAAUUAGGGGUUCCACUAUGGAUGUAUAUAUUCGUUAAAUACUUUGUCCCGGACUCUAUUUUGAAUCCAUUAAGUGAAUUUUUAAUCAUGGUCCAUCAUUGCUAAGAUCUAAAUUGAUAACUUAUCCAGAUAUUCUUUUCCUUUUUGAAAUAAAGAAUAAAGAUGUUAGCAAAGCAACUCGUGUAUUUGUGGUAGGUGAUCUACAUUCUUCUUCGCGAAGAAGUUGGUGAAGCUGCGUGAGAAAAACUUCACAAUUAAAUACACGAUUAGGUGCGAUAAAUCCUUGCAUAACAAAAGGCAUGUGGAUGUUUUAAUUAAUAAUAAUUUACAUUUAUAAUAUAAUGUACAAAAUGAUGAAUAUUACUUACUUUCUACAAAUUGUUUUCAAAUUCAACUCAGCAGUACAAAAAUUAUGAUAUUUAUUUGACAUAUUUUACUCAGAGUGUUUUCUUACUGAAUGUUAUUAUUGAUAGUGCUAAAUCUUUAUUAAUAUGGCUUAAGAAACUUUCCAAUGAAACCUUUUUAUAUAUGAGAGAUUACUUCAUAUUAAUGUUUUUUUUUACAUUUAUGAUUUAGAACUUUCAUUGUUUUAAGAUAUUUUUUAUUAGUUAAACUUUCUCUUUUAAGAGAAUUUACUUUUUAUUCUAAAAACUCUCUUUUUGAAAAAUAUAGAGAAAACUAAAUAAAUGAGACCCUUUUAUAUGUUUUUAACACCUUUUAACAAUUUUGAACUCAUUUAUGAUAUUUAUUUGACAUAUUUUAUUGAGAGUGUUUUCUUACUGAAUGUUAUUAUUGGUAGUGCUAAAUCUUUAUUAAUAUGGCUUAAGAAACUUUCCAAUGAAACCUUUUUAUAUAUGAGAGAUUAUUUCAUAUUAAUGUUUUUUUUUACAUUUAUGAUUUAGAACUUUCAUUGUUUUAAGAUAUUUUUAUUAGUUAAACUUUCUCUUUUAAGAGAAUUUACUUUUUAUUCUAAAAACUCUCUUUUUGAAAAAUACAGAGAAAACUAAAUAAAUGAGACCCUUUUAUAUGUUUUUAACACCUUUUAACAAUUUUGAACUCAUUUAUGAUAUUUAUUUGACAUAUUUUAUUGAGAGUGUUUUCUUACUGAAUGUUAUUAUUGGUAGUGCUAAAUCUUUAUUAAUAUGGCUUACUCAAAUCAAAACCUUAUGCUACUCACUGAAAAUAGGACAAGGAGUUUGGUCGUUUCUCAGGACAGAGAUCCAGUGUUUGAUCAAAGGAUGAGGUGGCACGAACACCUGAAAUUAAAAAGAAAAAAAAAACAAAACUAAGAAUCAAUUCACUAUUGAUUAGUUCCGAUCUCAAAAUUUACCAGCAUCCUAUUGCUUCCGUUAAUGGAGCCUUCGGACGCCGCCAUUUUAGCUCUAACCGGAAUAUUCCGCCGUGAAAGAGAAGCACCCAAAGUCUGUAUGUAUGAAGAAUUCGAGAUGAGGAUCCAACUCGAGGAGGGAGUGAGGUUAUAUUAAAUAGUGGUGGGUUACCUGACCGAGGAAGGGGGAGGAAUUAAAGGAGAGGAGAGAGGAAGGGGUAGGGGUAGGGUUUACGCGGCCGCAUUGAUCUUGUCGGGGACCUAAACGCAGCGUUUCCGAGUAACAUCGGAAAGCGUUACUAAUUGAGUACGCCAUUUCCCGACGAUAUCCGAACUCUGGUCUAACUGAGAACGACGAUCCAGCGAUUCAAAUACAUAAUAAACCGGCCCUCACUAAACUGUACCGGAUUAUUUUGGGGACUUCAACUUACGAUUGGGCUACAUUUUUCGUUUUUUGGACAAUCCCAUUGGGCUUUGUUUAUUACACGCUUUAUACUAUGCGGAGGAUAUGGGACUAUGGAGCGGAGCUUAAGCAAGUGCUCAAUAUAUCAGCUUACUGUAAAAAAAAAAAAAAGACUACUACCAAAGAUUUAUCUGUUUCUUCUUCUCCAAAUCCUACAAAGCAGCUUACAUUAAAGCAUUUACGACUCUAUUAGUCUUACUGGGUAUCAUGGAUAAUAGCCUCAACAUACAACUGUAUUGAUAGAGAAAGAGAUUAACAAUCGCUGGUUUAGCACAUUUUGAUAUAUUUUAAGAGGAAAAACAAUUUAGAAAUGGGUGAUACUUUUUGAAACCACUAGCUGCAGACAGCACAACCCAAAAGCUUAUCAACUUAACGAAUUAAUUAAUUAGUUUAUAAACUAAUCAUGUAUAAGAAGUAUCAUUUCUAAUUCUUGCCCAUGUCCAAGAAGCAUCAAGAUGACGAAAGAUAGGAUCAUAUGAUCAUUAGAAAGGACAAGCAUGGAGAAAAAGAUGAGAAAAAGAGCACGUUAACCAAUAGGACUAAAUCAUUUUAUGAAGUGGCUGUGAAUUGGUAUUGGCUUGUAAAGGACAACGUCAUAAGUUAUACAAAUUAUAAAUUUCUACCAAAAAAAUGUUGAUAAUUUAUCUACCAAAAAGGUAGAAAAUAGAAUAUUUAGUUGAUUGUUUUUUUAAUCAUGAUGAUGCCUUUUGAGCAGUAAAGGAGAAGCUUGCUAGUUAAUCACUUGAUAUGUACGUUUACUAUAUUACAAAUUGUAAUCAUACACUCGUUUGAUCCUAUUUGAAAUGUUAUUUCGAUCGUCCAAAAAACUAAAAAACGUUAGUUUAUAUUGAUUAAUUGCUAUAUAAACUUGGUUUUUGAAGUUAAUCAAUUGUAUUCUACUAUUCUGAACGUAAAACGAAUUUCAACGAUAUAAACUUUAGGGAAAAAAAAAACAAGAUUCUAUUAUCUUUAGCUAUAUAGAAUGUGUCAAUGCCCCCACACAGUUUUUAGUUAUCGGAUCGUAGAAUCAUAAAUCAUCACUCAAUAUCAACGGCUGUGAUCAAUUACAACGUACAGCUUUUCCCCACUCAAUCUUCUUUAAGACAUGUCAGUGAAGCAAAACACUUCCAAGCUUAGCCGACAAAAAUGGCAGAACUAGUUCGUUAUUACACUCCAGGGAUCGUAGUUAUACUUAUUCUAUCAGUUCUUCUCUUCUCGAUCACACGUGCUGAUUUACCAGGCACGUGGGAGCUCAUCGUACAAGACGCCGGUAUAGCCUCUAUGCACACGGCGGUUACCCGGUUCAACACGGUGGUUCUUCUCGAUCGGACAAAUAUUGGUCCAUCCAAAAAAGCUCUUGGUCGGCACCGGUGCCGGAAAGACCCAAACGACGUCGUUCUGAAACGUGAUUGCUACGCUCAUUCGGUUCUAUUUGACCUUGGUACAAACCAGAUCCGACCACUGAUGAUCCAAACCGACACGUGGUGCUCUUCGGGUCAGUUUUUAUCUGACGGUUCUUUGCUUCAAACGGGUGGGGAUAGAGACGGGUUUAAAAAGAUCAGGAGAUUCGAACCGUGUGACCCAAACGAGACCUGCGAUUGGGUGGAGCUCCAAGACACCGAGUUAACAACCGGACGCUGGUACGCUAGUGACCAGAUAUUACCGGAUGGUUCGGUUAUCAUCGUCGGUGGGAGAGGAACCAAUACGGUUGAGUAUUACCCUCCUCGCGAGAACGGCGCCGUUCCGUUUCAGUUUCUUGCUGACGUGGAGGAUAAACAGAUGGAUAAUCUCUACCCUUACGUUCAUCUCCUCCCCGACGACGGCGGAAACCUCUUCAUCUUCGCCAACAGCCGCGCCGUCAAAUACGAUCACCGCCUAAACACCGUGGUGAAAGAGUAUCCGCCUCUAGACGGCGGCCCGAGGAAUUAUCCGUCGGGUGGAUCAUCAGCGAUGCUAGCGAUCCAAGGAGAUUUCGCCACGGCGGAGAUCCUAAUAUGCGGCGGAGCUCAAUCCGGCGCUUUCACAGCGCGUGCCGUUGACGCACCGGCGCACGGAACCUGCGGUCGAAUCGUCGCUACCGCGCCGGAUCCGGCUUGGGUGACGGAGGAGAUGCCGUUCGGGAGGAUCAUGGGAGAUAUGGUGAAUCUUCCGACGGGAGAGAUUCUGAUCAUAAACGGAGCUCAAGCCGGAAGCCAAGGAUUCGAAAUGGGAUCGGAUCCGUGUCUUUACCC